rnacentral:rRNA from 1 species
GACGAACGCUGGCGGCGUGCCUAAUACAUGCAAGUAGAACGCACAGUUUAUACCGUAGCUUGCUACACCAUAGACUGUGAGUUGCGAACGGGUGAGUAACGCGUAGGUAACCUGCCUGGUAGCGGGGGAUAACUAUUGGAAACGAUAGCUAAUACCGCAUAAUAUUGAUUAUUGCAUGAUAAUUGAUUGAAAGAUGCUAUUGCAUCACUACCAGAUGGACCUGCGUUGUAUUAGCUAGUAGGUGAGGUAACGGCUCACCUAGGCGACGAUACAUAGCCGACCUGAGAGGGUGGUCGGCCAAACUGGGACUGAGACACGGCCCAGACUCCUACGGGAGGCAGCAGUAGGGAAUCAUCGGCAAUGGACGGAAGUCUGACCGAGCAACGCCGCGUGAGUGAAGAAGGGUUUCGGAUCGGAAAGGUCUGUUGUAAGAGAAGAACGGGUGUGAGAGUGGAAAGUUCACACUGUGACGGUAUCUUACCAGAAAGGGACGGCUAACUACGUG